rnacentral:rRNA from 1 species
UACGUAGGGUGCAAGCGUUAUCCGGAAUUAUUGGGCGUAAAGAGCUCGUAGGCGGUUUGUCGCGUCUGCUGUGAAAACUGGAGGCUCAACCUCCAGCCUGCAGUGGGUACGGGCAAACUAGAGUGCGGUAGGGGAGAUUGGAAUUCCUGGUGUAGCGGUGGAAUGCGCAGAUAUCUGGAGGAACACCGGUGGCGAAGGCGACGUCCGUGGACCGGCAUUGACGCUGAGGCGCGAAAGCGUGGGGAGCGAACGAG